GACGAACGCUGGCGGCGUGCUUAACACAUGCAAGUCGAACGAAGUGGCGAACGGGUGAGUCACGCGUAAUCAACCUGCCAUUCAGCGGGGGACAACAGGUGGAAACGACUGCUAAUACCGCAUACGGAAGGAGGGGAUUGCGUCUGAUUAGCUAGUUGGAGGGUUAACGGCCCACCAAGGCGAUGAUCAGUCGCCGGUCUGAGAUGAUGAACGGCCACAUUGGGACUGAGAAACGGCCCAGACUCCUACGGGAGGCAGCAGUGGGGAAUCUUCCGCAAUGGACGAAAGUCUGACGGAGCAACGCCGCGUGAGUGAUGACGGCCUUCGGGUUGUAAAGCUCUGUUAAUCGGGACGCGGUACCGGAAUAGAAAGCCACGGCUAACUACGUGCCAGCCGCCGCGGUAAUAC
rnacentral:rRNA from 1 species